GAUGAACGCUGGCGGCGUGCCUAACACAUGCAAGUCGAGCGAACAGAUGAGGAGCUUGCUCCUCUGACGUUAGCGGCGGACGGGUGAGUAACACGUGGAUAACCUACCUAUAAGACUGGGAUAACUUCGGGAAACCGGAGCUAAUACCGGAUAAUAUAUUGAACCGCAUGGUUCAAUAGUGAAAGACGGUUUUGCUGUCACUUAUAGAUGGAUCCGCGCUGCAUUAGCUAAUUGGUAUGGUAACGGCUUACCAAGGCAACGAUGCGUAGCCGACCUGACAGGAGGGUCGGCCACACUAGAACGGAGACGCGGUCCGGACUCCUCCGGGACGCGGCAGAGGGGAAUGGUCCACAGUGGGCGAGAGCCUGGCGGGACCACGCCACGUCGGUGAUGAAGGUCUUCCGCUCGUAAUACUCUGUUAUUUGGGAAGAACAAAUGUGUAAGUAACUAUGCACGUCUUGACGGUACCUAAUCAAAAAGCCCCGGCUAACUACGUG
rnacentral:rRNA from 1 species